rnacentral:rRNA from 1 species
GACGAACGCUGGCGGCGUGCCUAAUACAUGCAAGUCGAGCGAAUGACGAGAAGCUUGCUUCUCUGAUUUAGCGGCGGACGGGUGAGUAACACGUGGGCAACCUGCCCUGUAGACUGGGAUAACUUCGGGAAACCGGAGCUAAUACCGGAUAAUCCAUUUCACCUCAUGGUGAAAUGUUAAAAGGCGCAUCUCGCGUCACUACAGGAUGGGCCCGCGGUGCAUUAGCUAGUUGGUGGGGUAACGGCCUACCAAGGCAACGAUGCAUAGCCGACCUGAGAGGGUGAUCGGCCACAUUGGGACUGAGACACGGCCCAAACUCCUACGGGAGGCAGCAGUAGGGAAUCUUCCACAAUGGACGAAAGUCUGAUGGAGCAACGCCGCGUGAGUGAUGAAGGUUUUCGGAUCGUAAAACUCUGUUGUAAGGGAAGAACAAGUACGUUAGGAAAUGAACGUACCUUGACGGUACCUUAUUAGAAAGCCACGGCUAACUACGUGCCAGCAGCCGCGGUAAUACGUAGGUGGCAAGCGUUGUCCGGAUUUAUUGGGCGUAAAGCGCGCGCAGGCGGUUUCUUAAGUCUGAUGUGAAAGCCCACGGCUUAACCGUGGAGGGUCAUUGGAAACCGGGAGACUUGAGUGCAGAAGAGGAAAGUGGAAUUCCAAGUGUAGCGGUG